GAGCCACACCAACCACACACACUUCCCCUCGCGCUUCCUUCUCCUCCGCCUCCUCGACCCGAUCCCACUCGCGGCAUCCUCCGCCGCCGCGGAGCGAUGGCAGCCCGCUCCCCUUACUUCGCCCCCGAGGAAGGCGCCCGGUGCAUCCGCCCAGGGGAGUCACCUGCCGCGGCGCUCCGCCGGAUCCUGGCGACGCCAGGCGCCCACCAGGCGCCCUGCUGCUUCGACGCGCUCGGCGCCCGCCUUGUCGAGCGCGCGGGGUUCCCGAUCUGCUUCAUGGGCGGUUUCUGUGUUUCUGCCUCACGACUUGGAUUGCCAGAUGUUGGAUUAAUCUCCUAUGGAGAAAUGGUUGAUCAAGGGCGUCUAAUCACCGAAGCAGUUUCGGUUCCCGUGAUUGGUGAUGGAGACAAUGGUUACGGAAAUUCUAUGAACAUCAAGAGAACUGUAAAAGGAUAUAUUAAUGCUGGGUUGGCUGGAAUCAUGCUUGAAGAUCAGGUGGCACCAAAAGCAUGUGGACACACUGAAGGAAGGAAAGUCAUCUCGAGGGAGGAAGCGGUCAUGCACAUAAAAGCUGCUAUAGACACUAGGAAGGAGAGUGCCUCUGACAUUGUUAUUGUGGCGAGGACAGAUUCCCGUCAAGCUGUUUCUCUUGAUGAAGCAUUAUGGAGAGUUCAGGCUUUUGCUGAUGCUGGAGCAGAUGUUCUAUUUAUUGAUGCCCUUGCUUCAAUAGAAGAGAUGAAGGCAUUCUGUGCGGUUGCACCUGGGGUACCAAAGAUGGCAAACAUGUUAGAAGGUGGUGGUAAAACUCCCAUAUUGACCCCUGCUGAACUCAAGGAGAUUGGUUUUAGCCUUGUAGUCUACCCGUUGUCCCUAAUUGGGGUGGCAAUGCGUGCAAUGGAGGAUGCUCUACUCGCCAUAAAAGGUGGUGGUGUACCCUCACCUGCCAGCCUCCCAUCUUUUCAGGAGAUCAAGGAUACUCUAGGGUUCAACCGCUAUUACCAGGAAGAUAAACAGUACACUGUCCCUCAAGCCCAACCAUUGAUGCCAAGUGGUGAGCCAUGAUGAUUUCUACCAUUAUCCUGUUCAAUGUAGACAUGACUUGGCAAGCCCUGAUGGUUUAUUCCAUAACCCUCUUCAGUGUAGACAUGUUAACCCCAAGUGGUAACCCGUAGAAAGGAGCGGCCCUGUUCAAUUCUCAGGAGGCAUAUGGAAAUGGGAUCCAGGUGUCCACUGAGCGAUCAGUAUCCAUUUGCUUUCGAGAAUUUGAGAUUUGUACCUCUGGGCAAUGAGGCAGAGCAAUCGCGUUUAUCUUGAGGCAGACGAUUUUAGCAACUUGUAAAUGAGGCGGCGUGACAAAAUGUUUGUAAAUGUAUGCUGCUUUGGUGUCAGCAAACCUGGAUUCCUUGUGUUAAUUUUCAAUUUCAACAAAAUAAACCACCUUCGAAGUUGUUGAGAAA